AUGGCAGCUUAUGCUCUGAACAGCCUGAUAAUGAUGAACCCCAACAACCUGACCAAUAAGAGCAGCCCUCGGACAGGAAGGCCUGUGCUCCCAGUGCCCAGUCGUUCUACAUUUAGCCCCGUGCUGGGGGGCAGCGGAGGUCCCUAUAGCCCUGGCAGCCUGAGCCCUGGGUCACCGGGAAAAUCUUUCGUCUUCCCAACAAGUACCAGUUCCAGCAGCCAAAGGUCACGUUCACCAUGUCGACGGCCGGAAUCGCUGGGCGUGCAUGUGGGAAGUCGUGUGCGAAGACUGAGCGGGUCUGGCCUGGAGGAAGAACAGGAGAAUGAAGAACGCCGUGCCGCUCAGCAACUCGAGCGCCACAAGGAACUGCAGAACGUGGAGGUGAACAAGAAGGUGGACCUGUUUGAAGCCCAAAUAUCGGCUCAGGCUCACAGCCGAGAGGCUAAACGAAGCCCACGGAUUUCCAGAAAAACGCCCCUGAAUUUUGCCCCUGUCCAACUUGCCAAUCUCUCCUUAAACCCAGAGGAAACCCUUGUGAGGCUGAACAAGGAUCACUCAACGGGGAUCCCCAAAGAACUGCAAAAUGGAAAGCGCUUCUCUGGCAUGGAGGAGGGGUUGCAGAUCAGCGGUGACAAGAAGAACGGGGCUGACCCAAAUACGGAAGAGGGCGGCCCACUUGAGAGCACAUCAGCACAAACUAAGAGCGAAGCUGACAGCUCUACCGACAAUCACUCCAGGACUUCACCGGAGUCCAACAAGUGCUCAGCAUCUUGGACUGAGACAUGUUUAACAAAGGAGGGAGCUGAGCCAAAAGAAACCCAGGCAGAGCCCGACGGGGUCAGUAUAGAGGUAGGCUCCAUCCCCGCUGUCAUUAUUACGGACCACGGCAUGGAUUUCAGUGUGGAGGGCAAGGAGCCCCAGGUUAGUCCUCAACCUUACAGAGCCCUGAGGAAGCUCUCCUCUUCUUCUGCCUCUUCAACGGGAUUCUCCUCUUCCUGGGAGGAAUCAGAAGAUGACAUUUCCAGCGACACAGAGCGGUCCCCAGCGUUCCUGCAAACACAACAGAAAGCGGUAAGACCACCUGUUAUACGCUGUUCUCUUUUAUACUUAAUUUGUUGGCUUUCAUAG
rnacentral:lncRNA from 1 species